rnacentral:rRNA from 1 species
GGGAGGUAGUGAAGAAUACAUACAGGCAUCCAUGUCUUGUACUUGGAAUGAAUUGGGUGUACAACUUUCUCUUAGUAUCAAUUGGAGGGCAAGUCUGGUGCCAGCAGCCGCGGUAAUUCCAGCUCCAAUGGCAUAUAUUAAAGUUGUUGCAGUUGAAAAGCUCGUAGUUGAAUGUUUGCUAAUGAUGGCUGGUCCGCCCUUUGGGCGAGUAUCUGGCACACCAUUUGCACAUGCUUUGACUGAUGCCUGCACUUGAUUGUGUGGGGUUGUUCAAUGCACCUUUAUUUUGAAGAAAUUAAAGCGCUCUUGGCAGGCUAUUGCCAUGCAUGCACCAGCAUGGAAUAAUGAUGUCAUGAUUUAUUUUGUUGGUUUUUAAGUACAUGAGCAUUCAAAUAGGGAUAGUUGGGGGCAUUUGAAUUUUAUUGUCAGAUGUGAAAUUCUUGGAUUUAUAAACGUCAAACAAAGGCGAAAGCAUUUGCCAUGGAUGUUUUCACUGAUCAAGAACGAAAGUUAGGGGAUCGAAGACGAUCAGAUACCGUCCUAGUCCUAACCAUAAACUAUGCCACCUAGGAGUUGAAUGUUGUUACAUUGCUGAUAUGUGCAGUACCUGUGAGAAAUCAAAGUUUUUGGGUUCUGGGGGGAGUAUGGUCGCAAGGCUGAAACUUAAAGGAAUUGACGGAAGGGCACCACCAGGAGUGGAGCCUGCGGCUUAAUUUGCUUCCACA